CCACUUCCUGAUGCUGCCUGUCUUGCUGUGUUCUUCCGGCCUCCUACCUGUCUACUUUGGAUUCCAGCAUCUGCAGUUUUUUUGUCACAUUUUUUGAUUUUGUUGUGAGAUUUUAAAAACUGGAAGCUUUUAACUAAAUGCCCAAACAGUGAUCACAUCCUGUGAUGAUUCAUUCAUGAAAAUUGGGUUUAAAUUUUUUACCAUAUUAAGACUUUUGUAAAUCACAGAAUGGAUUAAUUUAUUGUUGGAUGGUGUCUACAACACACAGGUACAAGCAUGAGAAAUUAAUUUUAAGAAUACUCAGAAUUUGGAUGUGAAAUUCUGGAUAAGACAAUAAGACAUAGGAGUGGAAGUAAGGCCAUUCGGUCCAUCGAGUCCACUCUGCCAUUUAAUCAUGGCUGAUGGGCAUUUCAACUCCACUUACCCGCAUUCUCCCCGUAGCCCUUAAUUCUUGGAUAUUUCUUCACUUUUAGAAUUCUAAGAAGCUUUUUAAUAUUCACAUUUGCUGUUUGGAUUCAGAUGCAAAUAUAUUACCCUAUUUCUUUUUCCUGAUCAGCAUUUCAAUCCACUUACCCG